AGCGAACGCUGGCGGCAGGCUUAACACAUGCAAGUCGAGCGGGCAUCCUUGUGGUGUCAGCGGCAGACGGGUGAGUAACGCGUGGGAACGUGCCCUUCGGUUCGGAAUAACUCAGGGAAACUUGAGCUAAUACCGGAUACGUGCGAGAGCAGAAAGGUUUAUCUGCCGAAGGAUCGGCCCGCGUCUGAUUAGCUAGUUGGUGAGGUUACGGCUCACCAAGGCGACGAUCAGUAGCUGGUCUGAGAGGAUGAUCAGCCACACUGGGACUGAGACACGGCCCAGACUCCUACGGGAGGCAGCAGUGGGGAAUAUUGGACAAUGGGGGCAACCCUGAUCCAGCCAUGCCGCGUGAGUGAUGACGGCCUUAGGGUUGUAAAGCUCUUUUCUCCGGGACGAUAAUGACGGUACCGUAGGAAUAAGCCCCGGCUAACUUCGUG
rnacentral:rRNA from 1 species